UUCAAAGUGACGUAUACUUCUCCUGAUGUAAAAGAAAGAAAACCUAAAUAUCAAAUGACAGAAUUGUUGAACUUUUGUUCACAUUUCAAAAAACAAAACAUUACUUUUUCACCUUAAACUGAUUUUUUUUUACUUUGCAUGCUUGGAGUAUGAAGAGUGUGCAAAUGUGCUUUGCUGGGGUAUUUGUUCAGGGAUUUAUAGAACAAGUGGGAAAGACCUGAGGGAGUAAAUGGAAUCAUGAUGAGAAACUUUAAACACUGAGCUUGAUCAAGAGUUGAUGAGUAUAACAUUGAUUAUAUUUAUUUACAUAAAAUUAGUUUGCCACAUUCAACACAGAUAUUCAGUUGGAUGUCACUUUUUGUAAUUGGUACUUUACUGUACAGUAUACUAUACUUCAAAAAUGUAAAAACUAUAAAGUAACAUACACCAAAUCAGGGAUUGAACAAGAUAAGAAUAGAGACAAGUGAAGUUAAAGGCUUUUGAACUUAUGUUUCAUUAUUUUCACUUUUGUCACGAUGCUAGACGAACUGUGCAAACAAACAUGAGCAGCUUGUUGAACCAAUGAGCAGCGCGGCUGAUGUGAUUGACAGAGAGAUGAGCCAACCAGCGACCUGUGGCAGACCUGUAAAACGAAGCGUUACUAAAGUGUGUAGUAAAAGUCUAUGCAAAAUCUUACUAUGUCACACAGGCAGUUUCACAAAUGCUGCACCUUUCAGGAUCAACUGUAACUCGAGAUUUUAAGCUGAGUUUUGAGUAUUUAAAUUAUUCUGAAGACUUAAGGUGAAGCCAAGGUUGACUGGUGAAAAGGUGAUGGUGUUUUACUUAACAUCCAGCUCAUGGAAGCGGGUAAAUACUGUACCUGUUUGACUUUUCAUUUAUUUAUUUUUUCCCAUUUUCGCUCUCACCUCCUUAUCCUACAUCAUUAUGAGGAUGAAAUGUGUGUGGCAUUUAGUGAUCAGUGAGCUAACAUGCAAUUCUCAAUAAUUGAUUUUUUUCCCAUUUAUACUUCAAAAUCAUAAAUCAUAAUCAGAAUUUGCUGGUCCUGAAAUGGUCACCACCAUAGACAGACUUUGAACAUGAAAACAAGGGCCCUAUAUAGUCAAAAAGGAGACGGCAGUAUUUAUGGAGGCUUCACAGCAAAGACUACAGAACUGAGUAGUAGAACUGAAGUGUACACCCUGGAUCCUGUGAGUAAAACCUCUGCAUUUCCACAGAAUUUGAACAGACACUGUAAACAAGGCGCAUAAUUAAAUACACUGUCAUGGGAAAAACUGUGAGAAACUGCUUUGAGUUACCUUUAAUUUGUGUUUUAUCCUGUAUUCAGUGGUUUUAAAAUGUAUUAUAUGCUUAAACAUCUACUGUUUGUGUGAUCAACAGCACUGAACAAAAUUCAUUUCAAUACACAAUACACACAAUGAGGGCCCGAGUGAAACACCAUAUUUGACAUCUGAACUCACUAUAAUCACAACAACUACUACAUAUUUUGCAAAAUCUGAGGUACAUGGAUGGCACGGGUGUGACUAAUCAUGUAGGAACUAACUUUUUCUUCUUCUUAGCAAACUCACAAAUGGAUCAUCACCUGCCUGUGACCGUCCUACUCUUUGAUCAGCUCCAACGCUGUGCAACAAGCUGUGCUCAUUGAUUCGGGGGUAGACGCCAGAUGGCGGAGAGGCUGAGGGUUGCCAUCUUGCCUCGCUAAGGGAGACGGAGUUCCACCUAUUGGGACCUGUGAGACGUAUUCAAGGCAGAUCCACAUGAACUCAGCUACGACCAAGGCGGUGGAGAACUGGCCCACGCCACAGAGCUCAUGCGAUGUGCAGCAAUUUUUGGAGGCCAACGCAGCCUUUAGACAGCUCAAGUGGAGCUUCACCUCCGCACCCAUCUUGCACUUUCGUGGCAGUUCGUGGUGGAGGUGGACACUUCUCAGUUUGGGGUGGGUGAUAUCCCAGCAGGACCCAAAGGAUGGCAAACUGCAUCCCUUUGCAUGCAUGUGCUGUAAGUGUAUCCUCCGCUGAGAGUAACUAUAAUAGGACACCAAACCGGAU